CCUACGGGAGGCAGCAGUGGGGAAUAUUGCACAAUGGGGGAAACCCUGAUGCAGCGACGCCGCGUGAGUGAAGAAGUAUCUCGGUACGUAAAGCUCUAUCAGCAGGGAAGAUAAUGACGGUACUUGACCAAGAAGCCCCGGCUAACUACGUGCCAGCAGCCGCGGUAAUACGUCGGGGGCAAGCGUUAUCCGGAUUUACUGGGUGGAAAGGGAGCGUAGACGGCAGCACAAGUCUGGAGUGAAAUCCCGGGGCUUAACCCCGGAACUGCUUUGGAAACUGUGCGGCUGGAGUGCAGGAGGGGUAAGCGGAAUUCCUAGUGUAGCGGUGAAAUGCGUAGAUAUUAGGAGGAACACCGGUGGCGAAGGCGGCUUACUGGACUGUAACUGACGUUGAGGCUCGAAAGCGUGGGGAGCAAACAGGAUUAGAUACCCUUGUAGUC
rnacentral:rRNA from 1 species